GGGUCGAUGCCCGAGUGGUUGAAUGGGGACGAAUUGUAAAUUCGUAGACAAUAUGUCUACGCUGGUUCAAAUCCAACUCGGUGAA